AUUGAACGCUGGCGGCAUACCUUACACAUGCAAGUCGAACGGUAACGGGCCUUCGGGUGCCGACGAGUGGCGAACGGGUGAGUAAUGCAUCGGAACGUACCUUUCAGUGGGGGAUAACGUAGCGAAAGUUACGCUAAUACCGCAUAUUCUGUGAGCAGGAAAGCAGGGGAUCGCAAGACCUUGCGCUGAUUGAGCGGCCGAUGUCAGAUUAGCUAGUUGGUGAGGUAAAGGCUCACCAAGGCGACGAUCCGUAGCGGGUCUGAGAGGAUGAUCCGCCACACUGGAACUGAGACACGGUCCAGACUCCUACGGGAGGCAGCAGUGGGGAAUUUUGGACAAUGGGGGCAACCCUGAUCCAGCCAUGCCGCGUGAGUGAAGAAGGCC
rnacentral:rRNA from 1 species